CCUACGGGAGGCAGCAGUGAGGAAUAUUGGUCAAUGGCCGGGAGGCUGAACCAGCCAAGUCGCGUGAGGGAAGACGGUACUACGGGUUGUAAACCUCGUUUGUCAGGGAGCAAAGUGCAGGGAGGGACCUGCUGCGAGAGUACCCGGAGAAAAAGCAUCGGCUAACUCCGUGCCAGCAGCCGCGGUAAUACGGAGGAUGCGAGCGUUAUCCGGAUGUAUCGGGGUUAAAGGGUGCGUAGGCGGGCAUUUAAGUCGGCGGUAAAAUGUCGGGGCUCAACCCCGGCGUGCCGUCGGAACUGGGUGCAUUGAGUGGGCGAGAGGUAUGCGGAAUGCGUGGUGUAGCGGUGAAAUGCAUAGAU
rnacentral:rRNA from 1 species